rnacentral:misc_RNA from 1 species
CCACACCCCGCUCUCGUUGUGUUACGCGUUCGUCGAAACGCUUUUUCACGCAUUCUACGCCUCUCCUCAGUCCCGAUGUAGGCAGGCAACGCUGCGAAUUCUCCUCUCAAGUGAGAGUGGCUGAAGCAGGCCACAGGAUCUCGAAAAGGCGAGAGCGCACGGUGCGCAGGCGCUGCCAUGCACAGCUGGCAUGGGUGUGCCGCAUCCAUGCAAGGCGUGCGGUUGUCCGAUGCGCAAGAGUGAUGGGCGAAAAAGGGCGCGAAGGGCACCAUACGAAUCGACGCCAGGGCGCAUGUGUGCGCAGAGCAUGCGGCGUCUCCUGCGUCCGACGCGGUGGGCUGAUAUGAGGGCACGGGUGCCGGAAGCAUGGCAUACGGCCGGGUUGCAGAGGCUCUGAAGGGCUCUCACCGGAGGCUGGCCGACUUGUUCCUCGAGCUCACUCGGCACGCGCCUGGCCCACCACCACCACCACCUCUUCUACCCCGCAGGGCGGCUCGUUCUCGGCGACCAGGAGAUGUCGCCGCCGUGCGGCCAGAGGGUUGGGGCGCUGUGGUUGCGGAGGCGUGUGUACACUGUUGCGGACGUGUUCGUGGUGAGAUGGACACGUCCAAGAGGAAAAAGCCCUUUUGGCUGCCUGUGUUCGGUGCGCGCAUCACUUACGCAUCUACUAUUUCACCUAUGUUCUCGUGCUUAUAUAUAUAUAUACGUGUGUGUGUGGUGUGUUUGUGCGUGCUUUUCGCGGGGUCAUCACGCUCUUUAUUCAGUGUGUGAGCCGAG